UGGGGGAUAUUGCGCAAUGGGCGGAAGCCUGACGCAGCGACGCCGCGUGGGGGAAGAAAGCCUUCGGGUUGUAAACCCCAGUCAUCAGGGAUGAAUAGGACAGUACCUGAAGAGGAAGCCCCGGCUAACUACGUGCCAGCAGCCGCGGUAAUACGUAGGGGGCGAGCGUUGUCCGGAAUUACUGGGCGUAAAGGGCGUGUAGGCGGGGGUGCAAGUUAUCGGUAAAAACCCGAGGCUCAACCACGGGCCUGCCGAUAAAACUGCAUCUCUUGAGUGCAGGAGAGGGGAAUGGAAUUCCCGGAGUAGCGGUGAAAUGCGUAGAUACCGGGAGGAACACCAGUGGCGAAGGCGGUUCCCUGGCCUGUAACUGACGCUGAGGCGCGAAAGCUGGGGUAGCGAACGGG
rnacentral:rRNA from 1 species